rnacentral:rRNA from 1 species
UACGUAGGGGGCAAGCGUUGUCCGGAUUUAUUGGGCGUAAAGAGCGUGUAGGCGGCUAGGUAGGUCCGUUGUGAAAACUCGAGGCUCAACCUCGAGACGUCGAUGGAAACCAUCUAGCUAGAGUCCGGAAGAGGAGAGUGGAAUUCCUGGUGUAGCGGUGGAAUGCGCAGAUAUCAGGAGGAACACCAAUAGCGAAGGCAGCUCGCUGGGACGUUACUGACGCUGAGACGCGAAAGCGUGGGGAGCAAACAGG